AUGGGAAGCAGGUGGACAAGAACCCAUCCCAAGACAGGACCAUAUGUGAGCAAGCCCCUACACGCGCUCCAUCUGACUUUACUUACGGAACACAAAUUCAAAGAUAGAAUUAUUAAGAACUUUAAAACAAGCGCCUGUAGGACAUUACACUCCGAGCAAGGGCCCUUAGAAUCCCCCCGGAUGAUUGCACUGGUUGCCCACCCGGGAAGCCAGCCCUGCUCUCCGCUUCACCCCUUUGUAAGCCGUAAAAGCUUGGGAAUGUUACUUAACCUCUGUAAGCGUGACUUUCUCCAUCUACAAAGUCGUGAUGAUGAAGGUACCCAUGUCAAAGGGAUGAUGAAACAUUUCUGGAUUUGCCUGCUUGCUUUUCUACGGAGGGGCACCCGAGAGCAAAAAACGAGAGAGCCGAGUUUUAUCGGCCAGGCGGCCCGUGCUUAAAGGUGACAUUCGAGAGAACAAUCGCUAGGUUGUUUGGUCACCUUUGCUGUGGUCAAAGAAGGAGGAGACUCAACAGCUGUUUCUUUCUCCCUUCAUUUUUCCAACAAAGAAGCUUCAUGAGAACAUUAACACCGAAAGAAAAUUGUGUUCACUGCAGGACUUUUCAAGGAUCGGUGGAAAGAUUUAUGUAAACAAAUUAUUCAGUUCUUCCUUUGGUGACCUUGGUCCUAAGAGUGAAUGAGAUGAUCCUAUGGCUUUUUGCCCUUUCCUCAAUACAGAAGCUGCAGACUGCGCUCAGCAAGACCUCACCAAAUGGAGGAAAAUUAAAGAGAGAAAUGGUCCAUGGUGUAUUCUUAACCGCCAUAAAUUGGCGUCAUUUUGGCCACCAUCCAGGAGAGAGACACCAGCCUACAGAAACAGAGAAAGAAGAUCAGAAGCCGAUGGAAGGAAGGGAGGUUGGUCGUGUUGCUGUCCUCAGGAAGGUAGAGGGAAACCGAGCAGGAAUUAACAGGAGUGAAUAGUCAGCAAGGGUCUUUUACAGGAAAUAAAUCUAUCUACUGGGGUUUUCCAACAAAUGCAGAAUUCAGCGUAGCAGAUCAAAAGAAAGAAAGGAAGGAAGGAAGAAAGAAAAAGAAAAAGAAAGAAGAGAAUAAUUAUGUCCAGAAUUGUCCCAAUUGUCCUGCUCAGUGCAAACACACACACACACACACACACACACACACUCACACACACACCCUGCAGCCUAUAAUCCUCCCUCAUGCCCCUAUCCUGUUGAUCUUUCUUCACUUAAAAAUUAUCGGCAAAGAAUUUAUUCAUUUGGGAGAAUUCCAGGCACUACAUUUAUGUUCAGUUCAAAUGAAAUGGGAUCCAGACUUUUCAAACUGUGCUGUUCUGCAGAUAAAACACAAAGGCAGGACCUCAUUAUCUGGAGACAUGGUCCUUUCUUUUUCCUGUUGCCUUUUGUUUCUAAGCAAUUUUAGGCUUGUUUGGAAAGUCUCAUAACAGGGGCAGAACAUUUUUCACCACAUCUAUUUCAGGAGGGUUUUUAGUUAGGAAUAAUGAAUUUACCUCUAAACAGAUGGAAGAGUUUUACUAAAGCUAGAAACGACACUUUUCCUAAUAUCCCCGAUAGGCUGAUCUUAAUCCUCUCAUUGUUAAAAAUGCUUGGUCUAUGAGAGUCUUAUUUAUGUGCCAAGUGUCUUUAUUAAAUCAUGAAAUUAACACAGAAAAAAAUCCUAUUACAAUGGGUUUCUGUAUAUGAUCAAAAGUUGUUCAUGGUCCUGCUGAUAGACUACUUAUUCCAAAAUUUAAAAAGGUGAAAUUCCAAUAGAGCCCAAUGCUUGGCUGAGGUUUUAAAAAUUCAUUGUAAAAUGGCCGGAGGGGUUACGAGGCCCCCAGCCAAGAAAAGACCCACGUUUUAUCAAGGCAGUAGUCCCUAACAAAAAGAAAACUGUGAAAGAUAGGCCUCCCAUUCACCCAUACAAAUGAAUUCCUGGCAACAUUGUAAUAUGAUUUGACCUGUAGAAACACAACAAGUCUCUGAUAUCCACUUUGAUUUUUAAGAACCUAAGAGGCAAAUUCAAAGACAAAUUGCACUAGUGAAUCCAGGGUUGUGGGAUGCUAAAAGAGUUUAAAAAGUCAAGAGAAGCAGUUUGGUAUGUUUGUAUAUUGGAUUUUGAAAUUGAACUAAAAAUAUAUUUUUUUGAAUGCAGAAGUAGUACAUGUUCGUCACAGGAGAAAAAAUUCCCUCAAUACCCUUCUCAUUGAGAAAGUACACUUGUUUGGGGUUUCCAAACUCGAUUCUUGCCUUUAUAUGAAAAUGAGUGUUAAUGGCUCUGUGUUAGGGCUUAGUCUAGAAGCGCAGGUCCUGAUGGACAUUAGGAGGACCUAAAAAGAGAAAAAGAGAUCCAACUUGGAGGGGUCAAGGUCUGUGGCCUGUUAGGGGGACUUGGAGGGCUCUGUUAACCACCUAAGGGAAGGCAACAGGAGGUCCAGAUGAAGCAGAAGACACGGGAGGACCAUGCAUGAUGGAAGAUCUUAGGUAGAACCAACAGGUAGCAGACAAGUUGGGACAGACAUGGCUGAUGUCAGACAGAGAAACGGAGCCUGCAAAGGGCCUUGACCCCGGAGAUGCGUUUAAAAUCCUUUAGCCUUUCAAAGAUGGUUAACCCAAAUUACUUUUCUUGCUUGUUCCAGAUGCCUUAAUAUCUCAUACCAUUACCAAGGACCUGCCAUGUUAAAAAAUAAACAUUUGGGAAGCGAGGGAGAUUUUUCUCUUUUCUUUUUAAUUGCAAUUGUGAUGUGCUCAUGGCCUGACAUUACAUGAGGUCUGGCUUAGAUUAGCCCCUGGCUGAGAGAUCCCUGCUAAUUUAGUGACUGCAAUUAUGCCUGCCUCUAACCACGGUCUGCUUUGUGUGGGACAUGCCCUUGGAGUUGUUUUUCUCCACCAGAAGCAGUGGUUAUGUUGGCCCUCUAUACGUUUUUGCCCCAUUGGUGAGACAACUGGCUAGGAUUAGGGGUACGAUCUGUGACCCUGAAACAGAGUGAAACUAAUUGGCAGUGAGGGAGCUGAUUCCAUGUAGAGCGCGAGCACUGUAAGUCUCUCAUAAAAGACCCCAAGUGCCACAAGUGUGCACCUGCCUUCCAGCCCUAAUGAUUCUUCCAAUAAAAGAAGCAAAAAGGAACAAAAUACAAAUGUUUUUUGAACACCACUGCCUUUGCUUGGGGUCUCACGCAGCCACAGGAUGCAGGUAGGGGUAUGUGUGUCCCUGAGAAUCCAGGAUGGCCAGCAGCCUUUGCUUGCAACCUGCAGAGGGUGGCAAAGAGGAAACGUAGCAUAAUUUAGAGCAGAAAGGGUGGGUGAGUGGAUGAGGGGAGAGAGGCAGCAGGGGGCGGGGGUGUGUGGAUCUCCUCUCCUGCUCUAUUAAUCAACCGCAGAAGCUGCAACUUUAGGAUUUGCACAAUUGGACUCCAG
rnacentral:lncRNA from 1 species